AAUCACUUGUCUUUUAAAUGGAGACCUGUAUGAACGGUAAAACGAGGGCUUAACUGUCUCCUUUUUCUAGUCAAUGAAAUUGAUCCCCCCGUGCAGAAGCGGGGAAACAGACAUAAGACGAGAAGACCCUGUGGAGCUUUAGACGCCAGAGCAGACCAUGUUAAACACCCCAAGCUAAAGGAAUAAACUGAUUGAAUACUGCUCCCAUGUCUUCGGUUGGGGCGACCGUGAGGAAAUUAAAAAACCCUCCACGUGGAAUGGGAGCAACAAUCCCUCGAAGAUCUUUCUCUUCUUUGUCUCCCACAACCAAGAGCCACAGUUCUAAGCAACAGAAUAUCUGACCAAUAGAGAUGCAAAGCCGAUUAACGAACCAAGUUACCCCAGGGAUAACAGCGCAAUCCCCUUCUAGAGCCCA
rnacentral:rRNA from 1 species